UCCUCCUCCUACUUCUCGUGCUACUCUUCUUUCGCCUAGUCUGAUUUCUGCUAGAAGAUUUCCUCCUUCCCCUCUUUCGAUGAUCUUCUUCCGAGCCUUCACUAGACUCAUUUGAUUCACUCUCAGUCUCAGAAACCGACUUUGACCUCCUACUCUUACGCCUAGAACUCGAUUUCUUCCCUUUCCCCUUCCCCUUCCUCUUGGACCUCAAAUCAUCUGAUUCAGAGU
rnacentral:lncRNA from 1 species